UAUAUAUAUAUAUAUAUAUAGGGAGCAUAUCAGGUGAGAGGAGUGGUUUAUAGUGAGAGGUGAGAGUGUGCAAUAAUAGCCAUUAGAUUAUUUUGAAUGGUUUGGAUUUAAUCUCAUUUAAUAUACUCUCACCUGACCCUCCAACUCUAACUUUCCAACCCCCACGCGCAUCCUCCUCUGUGCUUUUGCUAUGUUCCCAACGCCCCUGAUGCUGUCUUUCUCACUUCCGCCAUUGAUGUUUUUCUCCCUUCCCCAUUUCACACACCACCCAUCAUGAAAUCGAAAAGGGACCAAAUCAUGGAAUCAAGAUAUAUCCAGGUUCCCAGUUUCCACGGCAUAUAUAUAUUUAUAUCAAAUAUUGACAAUUAAAUAAUUUUCUCAAUAAAAUCCUUAAUUUCUUCGCUCAUCUCUAAAUCUUGUUGCCGUAUCAGGGAUGGAAAUCAAAUCAAA
rnacentral:lncRNA from 1 species